AUUGAACGCUGGCGGCAGGCAUAACACAUGCAAGUCGAGCGGAACGGCGGACGGGAGAGUAAUGCCUAGGCAUAUGCAUGGUAGUGGGGGAUAACGUACGGAAAAGGGCGCUACUACCGCAUCCUAUCAGAUGAGCCUAGGUCGGAUUAGGUAGUGGGUGGGGUAAAGGCCUACCAAGGCGACGGUCCGUAACUGGCCUGAGAGGAUGAUCAGUCACACUGGAACUGAGACACGGUCCAGACUCCUACGGGAGGCAGCAGUGGGGAAUAUUGGACAAUGGGCGAAAGCCUGAUCCAGCCAGGCCGCGUGGUUGAAGAAGGUCUUCGGAUUGUAAAGUACUUUCAGUCGGGAGGCGUUACCGACAGAAGAAGCACCGGCUAACUGCGUGCCAGCAGCCGCGGUAAUUC
rnacentral:rRNA from 1 species